UAAGUGGGUGGACUCAGUGGCAUGUGUAGAAUAAUUCUUGAGUACCAGCUCUUUUUGACAUUGGUUUUUGGUCAUGACACAUGGCGGUGCAGAGCCCCAUGUGAUGACUAUGUUACUCCAUUUAUUCCUCACAGCCACACUGGAAGGCCAGAGGUAUUAUUCCCAUCUUGUACAGGAGGAAAACAGAGUCCCUGAGAGAUGAAAUUUCUUGUUUUGCUGAACCAUGAAAGAAGCUGCGGGUUGGAGAUGAAUGAGCUUUUGUUUCUGCAAAGCUGAAUUUUUAUUUCUUAGCUGAUAUAUUUGGAGCCAGAACUCUUCCAUGUUAAAGACUCUAACUGAAGCCUAGAGAAGUUAAGGAAGACACUCUUCUUCUGACCAGCUUUCUAAAAACUUGAAUUCCUAGAGCUGAGCACAGCAACUUGAAGAAACUUGGUUGGAGGAAGAGUUGUUUUUCAAUUGCAUAAAUUUUAAAGAAUUCUUCUCUGCUCUGGAUUUGGACACUGGCUGGUAAGUGAGUUAGAGGCUGUGAUUCUGUGUUUGAAAAGGAAUGUUGCAAAGAACUAGUUCUGGAUGGAUGCAGACGUGUGCUUUAGAAUUCUUUGGCCAGCAAGACUUCUUGGUGGGAUCUCCUGAUUGGGGGUUCCCAGAGGGCAGGCAGGAUGGUGUUACACUGGUUGCAGGGGAUCAUUCAAAGUGGCAUUUGGCUCUGAAUUCA